rfam:Fusarium oxysporum f. sp. cubense tropical race 4 54006 unplaced genomic scaffold supercont1.5, whole genome shotgun sequence.
GACAACGUGUCCGAGUGGUUAUGGAGACAGACUUGAAUUCAUUUCGGUUAUCUGUUGGCUUCGGCCGCGUAGGUUCGAACCCUGCCGUUGUCG